CUCGUGAGGACGCACGCACGCCUAAGCCCGUGGAGUCGUCGCGCCAAGCAGCAGCCUCGACGAGCCUUCUGAUCGCUCGCCGGGAGGAAGCCACACCCGAGCCCGUGCAGCGGCCACGACGAUCACGCACGCGUGGCAGAGGGGAGGCCGCGGUCACGCACAUGACGGUCACCUUGUUCUGCGGAUCCAUACGCCAAGCACGCAGGUGUCUUUCAUUUGUUCCCACGUCUACAGCUUCUAUAAGACUUGUAUAAUUAUUUAAAUUAAAUAUGGAUGCAUGUUCGAUUUAUUUAUCAUGAAGUAGAGAUGCAAGUAGUAACACAACAUGAUUACAUGGUCACUGUUUUAUUUGAUGGGAAAAAUAUCCUGAUAAUUCUACUAUCGGACAGCUCAAAUCUGUAUGUUGCUCUGCAAUUACAUUCAAAAUUAGGCAACUGCUAACUCUAAACUGUUCAAUCCAUUUUUGAGAACUUUCUGGUGGGAGAAAAGUCCUUGGAUUUUCUGGAUCAUCAGCUCCACCAUCAUUAGGAGAUCUCUUUUCAGCUCUAGCAACAUUACAAGUGCUGCAUGCAGGGUCUCCUGAUGGAAGUGCACUAAACAAAUCAGACUUCACAUCCUCAGCUAAUGCACUAGCUCUUGAGCAUGAAGCAGUGACAAUCCUCACCUUAGUAUGUUCCUCCUCUGAAUGCAUGGAGUCUUUGUGGUCUCUGUAUCCUUCAAGCUUUGCAUCAUCAGCCGCCGCGACGAUCAGUAUCAUGUCAACGCCCACACCCACGCACUUUGACGAGGUAACGACAAAGCCGCGCGGUGCCUGGCAACGACGAUCGCCCGCCUCUGCCGCCGUCAUGAUGAUCACGCCGGCGCAGACACGGCGCUCGCGUCGUUGCUAGCUUACAGCAAAGAGUGGGUUCGAAGCACACAACUAUACACAAUUUCUUUAAGUCCUAGAAAAAUUAGAGAAAUUUUAGAUGACAAUAGAGAGUUGGAUCAUGAUUGCUUCAACAUGGUUGUUAGGAUAGCUGCGUCAAAUGAAUCCUUGUUGUUGAAGAAGCAAAAAUACCACUUCAUGGACCUCCAGUUUGCUUCCAUAACUCAGUUUGGACGAGAUCCGCGAUGUUGUGACAAGCUAGACAACAAGAAACUCGCAAAAGUACUUGAGUGCUGGCCUGAUAUGGAGUACAAAAUUAAAGAUUGCAACAAUAUUCUACUACCAUAUUAUCGAGAUGGGCUAUACAUUUUAUUCAUAAUGAACAUGCAAAACAAAACUAUGUACAUUAUGGAUCCACUUCUAAAUGAAGUAUGUUUCAAGGGUUAUACAUUUCACACUAUUGCUAAAAGGUUCUGUCUCGCCAUGAAGAGAAGAUUCCCUACUUGUGUUACAAAAGUUUCAUCAAAUAAAGACUGACUUCGCCUUCGUCAGCCUCCAUACCUACACGGCCAGUUCAUCGGCACGUUAAAAAAAAAGGAAAAGAGCCAGUUCAUCGGCUGCCAUUUUCCGGCUGCAAUCUGCGGGGAACUUUGCGUGUGUGUGGGAUGGAUGGAUUAAGGUGUGGACUGAAAUUCAAUUGAUAACUCCUCGGGCUUUUCUUAACUUGAGCCUUGUUUAGUUCAUUCCAAAAUUUAA